CUACGGGUUGCACCAGUGGGGAAUAUUGGACAAUGGGGGAAACCCUGAUCCAGCAAUGCCGCGUGUGUGAAGAAGGCCUGCGGGUUGUAAAGCACUUUCGGUUGGGAGGACUGCUUCUAGCACUAAUAUUGUUGGAAGUUGACGUUACCUUCAGAAGAAGCACCGGCUAACUCCGUGCCAGCAGCCGCGGUAAUACGGAGGGUGCAAGCGUUAAUCGGAAUUACUGGGCGUAAAGCGCGCGUAGGCGGCUAGAUCAGUCGGGUGUGAAAGCCCCGGGCUUAACCUGGGAACUGCAUCGAAGAGUGGCAGGUGGGAAGUCGUGAGAGGAGGGUGGAAAGUCAAAUGGAGGCGUGGAAUGCGUGGGGAUGGGGAGGGGAGCGAGUGGGGAAGGCAGGGGUCGGGGCAGAUAGUGACGCGGGGGUGCGGAAGAUUGGGGAGCAGGCAGAGUGAGCGAGACAUGUAGUC
rnacentral:rRNA from 1 species